rnacentral:rRNA from 1 species
AGCGAACGCUGGCGGCAGGCCUAACACAUGCAAGUCGAACGAAGUCUUCGGACUUAGUGGCGGACGGGUGAGUAACACGUGGGAACGUACCUUUUGGUUCGGAACAACUCAGGGAAACUUGAGCUAAUACCGGAUGAGCCCUUAGGGGGAAAGAUUUAUCGCCGAAGGAGCGGCCCGCGUUAGAUUAGCUAGUUGGUGAGGUAAAGGCUCACCAAGGCUACGAUCUAUAGCUGGUCUGAGAGGAUGAUCAGCCACACUGGACUGAGACACGGCCCAGACUCCUACGGGAGGCAGCAGUGGGGAAUCUUGCGCAAUGGGCGAAAGCCUGACGCAGCCAUGCCGCGUGAAUGAUGAAGGUCUUAGGAUUGUAAAAUUCUUUUACCAGGGACGAUAAUGACGGUACCUGGAGAAAAAGCCCCGGCUAACUUCGUGCCAGCCGCCGCGGUAAUAC